GGUGCUUGCACCGAGCGGAUGAGUUGCGAACGGGUGAGUAACGCGUAGGUAACCUGCCUCUUAGCGGGGGAUAACUAUUGGAAACGAUAGCUAAUACCGCAUAAAAGUCGAUAUCGCAUGAUGUUGAUUUGAAAGGUGCAAUUGCAUCACUAAGAGAUGGACCUGCGUUGUAUUAGCUAGUUGGUGAGGUAACGGCUCACCAAGGCGACGAUACAUAGCCGACCUGAGAGGGUGAUCGGCCACACUGGGACUGAGACACGGCCCAGACUCCUACGGGAGGCAGCAGUAGGGAAUCUUCGGCAAUGGGGGCAACCCUGACCGAGCAACGCCGCGUGAGUGAAGAAGGUUUUCGGAUCGUAAAGCUCUGUUGUAAGAGAAGAACGAGUGUGAGAGUGGAAAGUUCACACUGUGACGGUAACUUACCAGAAAGGGACGGCUAACUACGUGCCAGCAGCCGCGGUAAUACGUAGGUCCCGAGCGUUAUCCGGAUUUAUUGGGCGUAAAGCGAGCGCAGGCGGUUAGAUAAGUCUGAAGUUAAAGGCUGUGGCUUAACCGAAGAAGUGCAUCGGAAACCGGGCGACUUGAGUGCAGAAGAGGACAGUGGAACUCCAUGUGUAGCGGUGGAAUGCGUAGAUAUAUGGAAGAACACCAGUGGCGAAGGCGGCUGUC
rnacentral:rRNA from 1 species